rnacentral:lncRNA from 1 species
GACAAACAGAAAUUGCGAAGCAUAGCCAUGGGAACUUUAAAUCUUUUCAUUUAACCUCUUAUAGUCUUACUCUCAUCACUCUGAGCUCGCGAUGAGACACCAUCAGUGCCUCCUUCAAUAUUCCUUCCAUCGAUGCUAUUAGCGACCGAAAGGGCAGACGACAUUGAUUCAUUUUUGGAAGAAGAAAGAAGGUGAACCAGCACCACUGAACUGCGAAUAGGUGAAGCCUGAAGUCGAAGCCCUCUCAUUGAACUUUUCUUUCUAUUUGUUAUUUUGAUUUGAUUUGAACCUAGAAUCAAGAUGAGUCAUUUAUCAGUUUUGUGAUUCUUAUGAAAUUAAUUUACUGAUUUGCAGGCAGAAGAACUCAAUCUUAGAAGCUCCUGGAGCGAUGGAGCCUUAGGUCUAAUUGGAUGUCGUCCCUGCCUCUCGAGGUGAAAUUUAUUGGAUGUUUUACUAAGGUUAGAUAUAAGUUGCUAAUUUAAAGUCAUGUAUUAGUUACCAGUUCUGUGAAUUGCAAUUUGCAUAUAGGUUGUGAUUUGUGAACUUAAUUGACUUUUGUGCAAAGGUUGAGAAUAUGUUGCUUGAUUUUAGGCAUAGGCUGAUUUGGGGUUCACUUAUUUUUGCUUUCAGAUACUUGUUUUUGCUUUAAAUUACUUGAUAAUAACGUUAUUGUAUGACGAUAUCAAAUGAUGAAACCUCAUAAGAAACAUUUUUAAUUAUAAACUAUAUCACUUUUAGUAUUAUUGUGAUAUUGUUUUCUAGUUCUAUUAUCAUUAAAUUCAUGACCAAAAUUCAAAUUUCAACUUCAAUUAAAUUGUACCCACACUGAACGAAUUUCCUGGAUCUAUCCCUGAAAUGAUCAUCAGAAUUGAGCAAUAAAGCUACAUCAACCUCAUGUUGCCGCCAAAGUUACCAGUACCAGAGGAAGCCAGAAGCCUAAACGUCCUGUAGCCUCAACACAGAGGUUACUUUUGAGAAUCCCAUCUAAGGUAUUAUGAAGCUACAUGCCAAGCUGAUACGCUAUCAGGACAUUCAACUUGACGAUCCAGGUUCGCACUAGCAGAGCCAUUAACUCUAUAGCCCUCGGGCAUCUAGUUCCAUCCCUCUCCUUCGACUCUAUCGAAGACGUCACUGAAUGCCUUCUUGAAAUAGAACUAGAAGUGGUAAAAAUAAUUUUUCGAAAAUAAGAAAGACAUUAUCGAAUUAUCUAAUCUUGUUGAUGAUUAUUUCCAAAAACGUCUUGAAACUUUAAAACCAUGCACUACCCUAGAUAUCUGUCUUAAGCGUGGUGGUCAUAUAGAGACGAUAAUGAAUGUAGCUCUUCGAGUAUUUAAGGAAGAGCAUUACAAUAUUUUGGGAGAAGGGAGUGUGAAAAUUUAUCCGAAACUUUAGAAGAACUAAAAAAUUUAAAGGCAACAAUGGAUCCCUUCAUAGAGAUCUUGAAACUGUUUACCUCGGUUUAUAAGCAAUAAGAUAUGAUGAGAGAGAAAUUGUAUGAAGUGGAAGAUUAGGCCCCCAUUUGGCUCCCACUAUUCCACAUUAUAAUAAAAGGAAUAAUAACUUUUUGGAGAAUGUGUGAUUAUAAAAAAGGAAAAUUUUUUGGGCUUACGUGUGUAAUAUUAUUUUAUUGGAUAUUAUGUGGUUGAUAAGAAAAUAGAGAAAAAUGAAUUAUAAUUUAAUGGGGAAUAAUAGGGACCAAAUGAGGGCCAGAUCACCAAAGCUUUUUUCGAGUUCAAUACAUCCAAUCAACCAACACCUCAAUGUGGGCAUAAUCACAGAGAAGAAAACCCGUUUUUCUCUAAAGGUAGAGGAAGAAAAUUACACGCACAUGAAGGCCAAUGAGAACAUCCAAUAAAUAUGUCAUAUUAGGGUAUAGUGAUCGGCCAAGUCCAAUGGAUAGAUCAGUGGGCUAAGUGUAUCACUAAGUGAGUUACCCUUUGUAAGCCAUCCAAAUGAGCAGCACUAAUUAAAUUAGACUGCUUCCAAUGGCCCAAAUAGUUUUAGGGUCGGUUAUUUCAUUGAGGUGUCGAUUUGUUGUUCAAUCAUUUGGUCAAUGCUGAUUGAGAAAAUAUACUAAAUUACAUCAUCGCCCAGGAGGUUGUUUGACAACAAUUUGUCCAACAAACCUCCACUUGGUGUUGUAGAAAUUUGCAAAGAAACAUUAUCAUUUGUUAGUAAUGAUUCCAAAAAUGGAAACUAAUAAAAUUGGAAAUUAGAUACCUCAACCAAUGUAUAGAAGGUCCUUGCAACUUCUAAACUUUAUCAAUGACAUCACAAUAGUGACCAUGUUGGAAGGAUUAUAUUGUGUAUGUAUCUUUUCAAGUCUUAUCACUUCUUAUGACACAAUAUCUCUAAUAAAGCAUAACCUAACAUCAAUGUGCUUAGUGUGUUUGUGAAAAAUAGGGUUUUUGCUUAGAUGUAUCAAAGAUUAUCUAUCUGAAUAUCAAAGUCAUUUAAAACACAAAGUUCAUGAAGUGAACCUCUAAGUUGCAAGACUUCUUUAAUUGUUUCAGUGAUAGCAAUAUAUUCUGACUUUAUGCCCCCCAUAAUCCGCAUCUACAAAAGCUUUUAAUAGCACCAAACAUUAGGCCUACAUCACUAGUCUCCUUUAAACACCUUAACAUCCAUUUUAAGGCUUCCAAAUGCUCAGGGCCCGAAUUAGACAUGUACCUACUAAGGGUACUAAUAGCAAAGGCUAAAUCAGGUUUAGUGCAAACCAUUAAAUAAAUAAUAGAUCCAAUCACAUUAGUGUAUGUAAUCCUACUCAUGUAUUCAAUCUUCUUUUCAUUAUAUGGAGCUUGAUCUUUGGAUAAUACAAAAUGAUUAGCUAAAGGUAUUGUAACAAUUUUGCUAUCAUGCAUACCAAAUCUUUUAAACACCUUUAAAACAUAAGUGGAAUGAUGCAAAAACAAAGUAGUAUUUUAUCCAUCUCUUUUAAUUUCCAUUCUUAAGAUUCUCUUAACUUUAUCUAGAUCUUUCAUGUCAAAUUUGCCAUUCAACUUUGUUUUUAUCAUUCUUAUCCACUUAGGUGACGAACCAACUAAAAGUAUAUCAUCCACAAAUAGCAAUAAAAAAAACAUUGUCGUUAUUAGCAUCAUCAUAUUAAAAAUACGGACAAUGAUCAAAUGUACUCCUUUGAAACCCUAUGGUGAAUACAAAAGAAUCAAAUUUUUUAGACCACUGUUUAGGUGAUUGCUUUAAGCCAUAUAAAGACAUUUUCAAGAAACACACAUGAUCAAGUUUUAAUUUAUCUUUAAAAUAUUUUGAUUAAUUAAUAAAAAUUUGCUCAUCAAGUUCACCAUGUAAAAAAUGCAAUUUUUACAUGUAGUUGUUCAAGUUUCUAGUCAAAUUGUGCAACUAAUGCAAGCAAAACCCUAAUAGUAGUGUACUUAACAAUUGGUGAAAAAAAUCUUGAUUUUUUAAUCAACACCCUCUUUCUUUGUGUAUCCCCUGGCCACUAAUCUAGCCUGAAAUCUUAAGGGUUCAGAUACAAUAAUACUAUCCAUAACCUUGAAAAUCCACUUACAAUCAACUGUAGAUUUAUUCUUAGAUCUAGGUAUUAGUAGUGAAGUUUGAUUCUUUUCUAAGGAACUCAUCUACUCUUUCAUUGUCUUAAACUACUCUCCAGAUUGUUCAUUCUUUAUCGCCUCCUCAAAGAUUUUUGACUCUCUAUAACUAGCUUCUCAUAGCUAGCAUGAGCAAUAUCUAACUCAGGCUGGUUUCCAAAUCUUUUAGGUGCUCUUAACUAUCUUUUCUCUCUAUCCCUAACUAAGUUAUAAUCUGCUAAGGGAUUCUCUUUCUCAGGAUGCUCUACUAUCAUUACUUCUUCUCCAUUCUCUACAUCAGGUUGCCGAACCCAAGUCUCCAUCUCACUAGGAGUAGCAAGAAUAGAUGUGCUAAGUUUUCCUAACUCUGUGUUCAACUAAUCUCUCUCCACCUUGUUUUUCAUUACUCACAGGUUCAGAUUCAGUUUUAAUACACGAUAUUUCACCCUUAAUAAAUGUAAGAUCUUUACUCAAAUUGAUUUUAACCCCUUUUUGGCUUCUAUCCUACAACAUAUAAACUUUGACAUCUAGGUUCAAGCUUUCCUUCAUUCUGAUGAGAAAAUAUAGCACAACCAAAUGUUCUAAGCACAUAAUAAUCACUUAGUAUACCAGACAAUUCUUCAUAGGGAGUAUGACCAUUCAAUGCAAUAGAUGGAGUCAAAUUAAUCAAAUAACAAUCAUUCAUAACAGCUUCGCCCCUAAAUAACUUUGGGACACUAGAACUUAGCAUCAUGAAGCGCACUUUAUCAAGUAUGGUUAUAUUUAUCCUUUUCGCUAUCUUGUUUGCCGAAAAGUGUAAAGAACAAUCUUAUGCAUUGUUAUUCCACUUACUUUGCACAUAUUGUCAAAUUCAAUGUUAAAAACUCUAGGCCAUUACCAGUUCCCAAAAACUUAAUCAUCUUGCUAGUUUGAUUCUCAACUUGUCUUUUUCAAUUAUUAAAACUGUUGAAAGUAUCAAACUUAACUUUUAAAAUAGAACCCACAUUUUUCUAUUGUAAUCAACAAUGAUAGACAAUAAAUACCUAUUUUCACCCAAGAUGGAAUUAUUAGCAAGACCCCACAAGUCUAAAUGCGUGUAUUCAAGCAUGCCUUUAGUUUUAUGAACACUAAUGGAGAGAGGUUCUAAGAUGCUUACCAAGCACACAGUGAUCAUAGGAAGAUAAAUCAAACACACAAUCAUUACCAAAAGAACAUUUUUCAUUAAGUUUAAGCCCUUAAUGCCCACAUGUGUUAGUCUAUUUGUCAUUUAUGUGUGUGAUCAGCCUUGUCAAAAAAGAUAAAGGAAUGUAAACCUCUUAUCACUUUUCCAAUAGUGAUAUAAAUAUCAUUUUUCCUAAUUUUCUUUAUGAAAAUAAGUGAACCCUUAAUCAAUUUUAAAACUCUAUUUCCAAUUUACAAGUGAAGUCAUAUUUCUCAAGUCUUCCCAUUGAAAUUAAAUUCCUAGAUAGAUCAAGAACGUAUCUAGCAUAUUUUAAAGUAUACACAAAACAGUGUCAAAUUUUAGGGUAAUAUCACCAAUUCCAAUAACAGUAUAAGCAGAAUUGUCACAUAGCACAACAAGACCAUCAUUUGAUUCAUGCAAAUUUUUAAACAAAUCUUUUUGUGAUGUUACAUAAAAAAAUGCACCAGAAUCAAGUAUCCACUCAUGCAAAUGGGAAUUGAUAGUUAGAUUCAAUUCAAUAGGAUAAGAAACAGAGCUUGUAAUCAUAUACACUUCACCAUCAUAAACAUUAGAAGCUGAAGACAAUACAUUUACUUCAUCUCUCUUUACUCUUUAGUUUACCCUUUCCUUUAUAGCAGUAUUUUAUAAAAUGCCCUGUGUUCACACAACCAUAGCAUUUUCUAACCUUAGUCCUAGAUUUUGAUCUAGGCCUACCCUUGCCAUUCAUUUUACCUCUAUUACUACUUGACUCACCACCACUAUAGAAUCCAUCAUGACUAUUUUUCCUAAACUGAGUUCUAUCCAUCACCAUAUGAAUUUCACUGCUCUGAUUAUCGUGUUUUUUAAUUUUAAUCUCUAUCUCCUUACUUCUAAUGAGUCAAUGACAAUUUCAGCGUCAAAGUGUCCCUACCUAUUUAAUCACAUUCUUAACUUCCACCUAAGUAUCAGGUAUAGAGUUAAGUAAGAUUAUAGCUUUGUAGGUUUUAGACACCAUUUUUCACAGUUAAUAAUAUAUUGAACAAGUUUGUUAAAUAUUUCUAAAUUAUCAUCAAGAUCCGUUGAAGAAUCGAUUUUAAAACUGAAAAAACGCUCAAGAAAGUAAAGUUUGUUUAAAAUAUAUUUGAACGAAUAUAAGUCUUCUAAUUUUUUCUAAAGUUCCUUAGUGGUUUUCAAUUUAUCCAUUUUUUUAAAACAACAUAAGACAAGUAUAAAAUAAUUGAAGCGUAAGCAAGCUCAUCAAAUUUUUCUAUUUGUUCUUCUAAAUAAUUACCAGAAAAAUUACCUUCACCAGCUUUUGAAACCUUUUGUUAAACUAAAAUAUCUCUCAUCUUUUGUUAUUAUAUUGAAAAUCACAUUUCCCGUUAAAAAUUCUCAAAUCAAAAUUGUGAGUUGUCACUUUAUGAGCCAAUCAAAAGUGCAUAGAAUCACAAUUAAGUCACACAUAGUCCUAGGGUCAUAGACAAUAUACAUCGUUCUAGAUUCCCAGUAUUUCAUAAGAUUCACAAUCUUAGAUCAAGAGAAUGUUCAAACGGGUAAGGUCUAGAUAUUCUAAAAGAAUUAAAGAUGCAACAAAAAGAUAUGUCAAUCAAAAAAAUUUCACACACAAUAUAUCACAAAGAUAAUAAGCAAAUAUUAUCAAAAUAAAUAUUUCAAUCACAUGCGAUCAAGUAAUUCCUAAUUUCUAACACAAUUAAUGAUUACCUAGCAUGGUAACCUCAAUCCUAUUGUCAUCCCACAAGAUGAUACGCUAGUGCUCAAAUUUAACCAGGAUAAGCCAAUUUAUCGGAAUGGACCAUGUUUGAAGGUCUGUAAGAUGAAAAGAUGUGAAUCUAUUGCUUUAAGGCCACCACUAUUCGCCUUAAAGCUUCAGCAAAUGUACGAACGUGAUUGACCAAUAAACGAAGGCCAAGUGUUUUGGGGCAAAAUUUUCCAAAAUUCUCUGUAUAACUCAAAACAUGAAAUUAAUGAUAUGAAAAUGUUAUGAAGAAUAAUAGAGCAACCUGUCUAAAGAGAACUUUUUCAGAAUCGCCGCUAUGCACCACUGCCAUCAUCCAUUGUAGCCUCCAUGUACUAUCGAAGAAGGUACAACUCUACCUACUGAGUAUGGUUAUGGCCUCUGUUUCUCCUGACAGUGUCUAGAUUGGCCUGAAUUGACAGUUGCAGGUUUGGCCCCUUAAAAAAGUUAUGCAAACUUAGCCUUUUUUUAGUUGAUUUUUUGCCAGAAAAUCACUAGCUAAGAUCUGAUACAGAUUUGAAGUGGAAGUAUAGGUCACCAAGGCAUUUUUUGGGGCAGAGUACAUCCAAUUAACCAAUACCUCAAUGAAGAAACUGAACCAAAACCUUUCAACCCUUCCACACUUAUGGUUGCUUCCUUAUCACCCACAAAGGACACACAAGGAAAAGUAUAAUAAGUAUGAGAUCAGCCACAAAGGCUAGAGGGAGAAGAAAAAUAGUAGGAGCAAUCACAAAGAAAAAACACCCAUUUUUCAUUAAAGCCAGAGGAAACAAAUUACACGCACACGACGGCCAAAGGCAACAGACAAUAAAUAGGUCGCAUUAGGGCGUAGUGAUGGGCCAAGUGCAAUGAGAUAGAUAAGUGGGUUAAGUGUAUCACUAAGUGAAUUAACAUUUAUAAGACGUCCAAAUAAGUGGAAAAUGGUCCAUGAGCAGUACUAAUUAAAUUAGUUUUAGGGUUAGGUCAUUUCAUUGAGGUGUCGAUUUUCGUUCAGUCAUUUGGUUGAUGUCAACUAAAAAAAUAUACCAAGUUAUAUUAUCGUAUGGGAGAUUGUUUCACAACAAUUGCCCAACAAAUUGGAAGCAAAAAAGAAAAAAAUAGACAAGAACUUGGGAAAAAUAAAAGUUAAGAGGUAAGUCUCUAAUGUGAUAUCUAUCGGUGCAUUUGCCUUAGUCUUGAUAUACUCGAUGGUGGCGGCAGUAGUCAUCGCCCCGUCUGUAGUGACAGCACUGGCUAUAGUAGGCAUUGUGCCUUCAAGGACAAUGGGAAAAUGGCUCGAGUCGAUUUUUAAGAAGCGUGAGAUGGAUUAAAAAGGGAAGAAGGUUAUGAUAACUAGUCUAUUGUGUAUUGGGACUAUUAUCAAGAAAAUGGAUUUUGACAAGGUUUCGGAUUGAGAUUAAGGCAUUGUUGGAGAGUGUAGAUUUUGCUAUGAGGGAAAGGGCUCAAUGGUUAUUGCAGUAAAUUUACCUGAGAAACCACAAUGGCUAGGGACAUACUAUGGAAGAUCAUGAAUGAAAACUUUGAUAUUUCAUAAAAGAUUGGAUAUUUCCUAGUUCAAACCACGUUUUAUUUGAAGGUACUCAAGAGAAUAUUUCAGUGAAUGUUAUCAACAUCACAAGAACUACAACAUAUCAACUCUUCUACAACUUGUGAAAAAUUAGAUCUAUCAUGUUCUAUUGCAUUUUUUGAAAUGCUAUUGUAGGUGGUGUUAUUAAAAGUUGUAUUUCCGUUACAACUUUUUUUGAAUGCUAUUAGAAAGUGAUAUGAAAAACUUUUACAUAGCAUUCUAUUAUCGUUAUAAUUUUAGUAUCUAUAGAAUUCUUUUCGUGCAAUCUUUUUAAAUUUGAUAGCUUUCUUCUUUGUUAUAAUUUUAGCUUUAAUAACAUUCUUUAAUCAUCAUGGUUACAUCUUUAAUAGCUUUCUUGUUCCAUCAUAACAGUUUGAUAUUUGUACCAUUUAAGGAAUAUAAUGUAUCCUUUUCAAUAGCAUUUUUUUUGUAAUGUAUAUAUUAAAUAGCAUUCCAAAUUCUUUAAUUGUCAAAUGUUAUUUAGAACUAAAAAAUGAACAAUAACCAUGCCCAUAAUAAGUUUUAAAACAUGCAUCAAUAUCAUUUUGUAGAAAUACACAAGUGUAGCUGUUCUAUAGAGAAAUAUAAUUAUGUUUCAUCUCACAUCUAUUACUAAUAAUAAUAUUUGCUUGAAAAGGUAAUAAACAAAACUAAAUUAGAAUAGUCUCACUCUAGUUUUUCAAAGAAAAUUUCUUGAACUCUUGCAACUUGUUUGGAGAAGACAUCUAUCAAGAUAAUGAUGCGUUUAAAUCUGAACAUUAACAAAGUGAUACAACUUAUUAGAUUGUAAAUAUAAUAUAAAGUAGAAAUUUCAAAACUCUAAUUGAUGAAGCUUCAUAUUAACAUUCUAUUCCUUUUCCUGAUACUACAAAGAUAAAAAUUUCAAAAGAAAAACACAAGAAACUAGGAAUUAAAGCAUGAAAAUAGAAAGGAAGUGAUAACUUUGGAUUGUAUAGACAAACAAGGAACAAAAGAAUCCCUCAGUUUCUUUUUUACUCUCUAUGGGCCUAUCCCUUAGCAUGAUGCAGAUCUAGUAUAAUAUUGAUCUUUGAAGAUUCAUUGGACUAAACGGCAAUGAGUUUACUAGGCUUUCCAUUUGCUAGCACAUUGGAUGAAUUAACUGCAGUUACUCUACAGGAUCAUACAAAUUGAAACUAAGGAGAUAUAAACAUAAUAACUAUGGUCUCUCAUUGAUCUACUGCCACAGGACACAAAUGGAUGAUGUCAUUGUUGCGACUUCUCUAUUAUUGGGAGAGACAAUAGAUAUUGGUCAAUAUAGAUUGUACAAUACAAAAUAAUACCUCCAAGAUUGACCAAUAAAUUACGCAGCAUGAUUCAUAGAAUUAAGCUUAUUAAUUUCUUCAAAGCAUGAGGUAUACUAGAUGAUAUAAGACUGUUAUACAAAGUAUCGAACCAAACAGAUCUCAAACUUAAGAGAUUUAAAAAACCUAAAGAAAUACACAACUUCCUUUCAAGCUUUCUCAACCGCCAUGGCACCAAGAAUGAAGAUGUUUCAAAUGGCCUCAGAUCAAAACAAAUUGUACCCAUCUGUGUGACCAAAACCCUAACCCAAAUUCUCAAAUGCACCUUUAUUAAUUAAAGGAAGCUAUAAGGGCGGAUGAACUCAUACCAUCUCUUAUUAGUACACAAAGUGUCAAGAUUAUACAAUGAAUUGGAAAGAAAACCAACUUCCGAUCAGAGAUUGGAAGAUGAACACGAACGAGAAAAGAAGAGUCUCAAACCAUACACAGAUAGCACAAACCCUAAGAAUGAAAGAAUAGGGCAACAGAAGGCAGUAUUUAUACACUUGCUUCCAACCAUUGAUUAGAUUCUAAUUUAACGGCCCAAGUGGCUUCUCAAACAAAGAAGAAAUCGUGUAAGGCUACACCCAUAAAAGACCCACACCUUAAACACAACUUUAGUGCAAUUGGACUAAGGUAAAUGGGUCCAACCACGUUAUUGAGCAAUUGUAGAUUUUAGCAGAAAAUGAAUUUAGGUCUUAGUCUUAUCAUAAUUGCUCCCAAGAGGUAAUUUGGCAUCACAAUCCAACAAUCUUCACCUUAAUAUCAAUGGAUUUUACCUUCCCGUGCACUGGACAGGGUCCUAUUUACUGCAUAUGCUGCAGUAAGAAUAGCCUCUUCCCACAUAACCUUAGGUACUCAUCAUCCUACCAUCAUAUACUUGACAGUAUCAAGCAAGGUCAUGUUCAACCUUUUUCAACCCCAUUCUAUUAGGGAGUAUACACUACAACAAAAAAGGUCUUUUGCAAUGUUUCAAAAACGUUGCCGAAGACUUUUUGCAACGUUUAGACCAAUGUUGCAAACCUCAGUAUUGUCGUAGAGUGGGAGCCUACGGCAACGCUGUUUAGACGUUGCUGUAGCAUCUACGGCAACGUUUAAAAAUCGUUGCCGUAGAGAGCUACUGCAACGUUUUUUAGACACUGCUGUAAAUGCUACAGCAACGUCUAAAAAAUGUUGCAGUAGCUGUCAAUGGCAACGUUUAUAUAACGUUGCCGUAGUAUCAACGGCAACGUUUAUGUAACGUUGCCGUAGCUGUGAAUGAGAAGCCUACGACAAUGUUUUUUAAACGUUGCCGUAGAUGCUACAGCAACGUCUAAAAAAUGUUGCCGUAGGCUCCCCAUUUUUCUUGCAUUUUCUCAGUUUUUGCUGUUUUCACCUGGAUUACUGCUGAAUCAAAAAUACAAAUUUACCAACAAUUGAAAAAAGUAGUGCACAAACUCAAUUUGUCUUUUUCAGUACACAUAAAACCCGUAUGAAAAUAUAAAGUGGAAAUAAGAUUAAAAUUUCAUUACAUAUUUUUUUACCAUACAAAAUGCAAAUACAUGAAACUCUAGCCUAUACAACCUAUAUAUCAAUCCAAAAUCUAUUUUCCUACAAAAGUACAUGCAUCGUUUUAGCCACGCCUAGUUGCAAACAUCAUAUCAGAUAGUUUCCAACCCUACAACCGCAUAAAAAACUUAAAAGAUACUAAUCAACCAAAAAGGAGAUCUAAAAAGCGAGUGAAAUCUUAAGAUAUGAUGUCAAAUAAGCCUAAUACUGCUCUUCGACCAAGCAACAGUACUUCCUAUGGCUUCACUAAGAGUCCGAAGUUCAUUUGUCGGUCUAUAUAAUGUCAAACUAUUCAUGUACACUUCCUCAACCCAAACUUUCCAGCACUCUCGACCAAGUGGUAAGUGAUGAACCUUUGCAAAUGGAUCUGCUGUUGCAAUCUUUCCUUCCGCAACAACUUCUUCUUCCUUCUCAAAAUACCAAUGUAAUAAUUGACACCUUGCAUUUUCCAGAUUUGCGGUGCCUCCGUGAACACCACUUCCUUGGUGUGACUACAAUUCAUAGUAAACUAAAAUUUCCAAAAAAAUUCAAUUAGAUUUCUAUAUAAUUUGGAUUUAUAACAUAUAAAUAUAUAAUAAUGUAGGAUACAAAAACCUGAGGAGUGAAAGCACGUGAACUCUUAUCCUCCAUAUUCUGUAAGAUGAUACAAAAAUUAUGAAAAGUAAAUCUGCAUGUACUUGACUAUAUUGUUGUACUGUUACCGUAGUAUAUAUAAAGGUAAAAAAUUAUAACCUGUUGAGAUAGUUUGAGAAGUGCUUCAACCUUUUCUUCCAACGCUCCCAUCUUGUCAACCUUUUCUUCUAAUGUUCUCAUCCUUUCUGAUUGAGUUUGUAGUUGACUUUCGAGUUCUCUAACUCUCACAUUACUUUGAAUUUGUCCAUCCACCUUCGAUGGUGCAACUCCAAAUCCAAGUCCUCUAACUCUUCCAUAGCGCUCAGGGCCUAAAACUCAAUCAACAGCAUCAUCGCGAAUGGAGUCUUCUGCUGGCGUAUCAGAAAUUGUUUCAGCACACGCUUCAAUCCUUUUCUGUAGUCAUGGAACUCAAAAUUUAUAUUAACAAAUGAUACAUAUAAUAAAUCAAUUUAUUCUAUGUUCAACAUUGAAUAUAAAACACAUACCACAGUGUCGGCAACGGCUUCGUUUAUCGGUUUUCCAUCUUUUCUAAGAUGGCCUUGAGUCCAUACUCUAGCUGUCAAUCCCUUUAUAUUUGGAUUUUUUUUUCUCUGCAAUAAAUAUUUGGUAAUUACAUAUACUAGAGUAGGACAAUUCAAAUAAGAAGAGUAGAUAUGUUUGUAAUUUUACCAUUUCAUGGGCAAUACGUGGAUAUCCUUUUCGACCCAUUGUAUUGGGAGUUCAAACAUUUUCAUCAAAGCAAGAAUGCACAGUGACUUAUGUAGCUUAGCCAAUUGGCUGAGGCUGAAUAGGGGUGGGGGGUGAACGGGUGGAAGGAUUUUGUCUAUAGCUUCCAUCCAAUCAUCUAUGUUUUACAAGAGGACAUUUAUCAUGUAGAUUUAUGCAACAGUAAUAUGGUCCCUUUAAGUUUAAUACUACCUUAGACAAUUUGUGUAUCCAAGAAUUGGAAGGUCUGAAGACAGUUUUUUCCACUUCUUCGAAAAUUGUGCAGUUUUUCUCUUCUCUCUUUAUUUUUACAUGUGCAAUAAAAUGUUGUACUUUUAGUAAGUAUCCUCUUGUGAGUAAUAGACUGGCUUGUUUUAGUGCUGUCAUCUGGAGGGCAUUGCAGUGAGUUAAAUGAUGAGAGAGCAGAAAUUUUGGCAGACCGAACUAUGUUGUCCAAUGAAACCAGUGAACAAUGUGAGUUGUAUAGUGGAAAAGAUGAUAUUUGUGCUCACGAGGUUCUUCAAGAUGGUGAACCUGAUUCUGACUCAAGUGAAGUCCAUAAUAGAAUGAUGUGGAAGGUUAGUCAUUGGUUAACUCGUAGUUUAUAGCACUGUUAAAAAAGGAGGGUCAACAGAAAUUAUCAUUAGUAAGGAUGGUUGCUAAGACUAGAUUCUUGGACCUUUCUAAAGAGAUAGAUCAUAGACCUAAAUGGGAAGUGACAAUAAAAAGGGAGUAGUGUAGUCAACCUUAAAUUAUUGAAUAUAAGGCUUAGUUUGUCAUCAUUGUAUUACAAUUAAAGAAACGAUGUUUCAAACAGCUAAUUGUCUAGAUUCCAUUUAUGGUUUUAUAUAUUCUAAAUCAGUUCUUGAAUUUCUAGGUUCUUUUUCCUUCUCUUCUCCAAACAUAAUGCAUAUUAGUGAUUCCCUAUGUUGUAUAUCUAUCCUCUUCUAACUUCAUUCCUAUUCAUAGAAAAAAGCAACCUCGGGAAAUCAUUAUUCCCUAUCUCCAUUUAAGGAAAGGAUUCUUGUAGACCGUUCUUGAGUCCAGCAUUCACUUUCAAUGCUUGCAGUGUAAGAAAUAUUUCUAUUUGCUUGAGUUCUACAACGUGCAGUAUUGAACCUGAAAGCAAGACCUAGAUUGAAUAAUCUUUACCUAAUUAUUUUCUGUUCUUGCUGGUCAUUCAUGUUUAAACAGUUUCACAUGUAAAAGCUCCAUCAAAUAUUCAACAGGAAGCUCCAAUACAAAUGGAUAUAAAAGAAGAACCAAAAUUUACUGCUAAACUAUAUCAGUUUAUAAAAUCAAAUACUAAUAAUGGAGGAUCCUUAUGAAAAAUUAAAUACUAAUAAAUGAAUGCCUUUAUCUUUGUCAUCCAUAGAAUCAAAACUAACAUGGCUAAAUCCAUUUGAUUAAAACUAGUAGCAUUCAAAUUAAAACACCUAUCACAAGAAAUCGUCCCGUCGAACAGUUCAGUCGAAAAACAGCAUGUGAAAUUGACUCAUAAUCAAAUUAUAGGAAACCCUUGUAUUAGUUACCCACAUUAAGAAGAAUCAACAUCCAAUAUCCAAACUUAUAUACUAGGGAAACAGAAUGAACUGACCUUAGUGAAAUCGGGCAACCGGACGCAGGAGAACCAUACAAUCGGUGUCGAUGUCGUCUCAAAAUCUUCUGCUGGCGUCGAAAGUCGGAAGAGACUGGCAGAAUCGGGAUGAAAUUGAUGAAGAAAUUAGGGAUGAAAUGCGCAGAAUAAUGGAGGAAUUUGAGGAUGAAAUUAGGGAUUGUGUGAGAGAUUAUACGAUUAGGGAUUUUAGAGGAUGAAGGUAAAUUAUUUGGGCCUCUCUAUUGGACUUGGGACUUUUCUAUGGGGCUUACUUGGGAAUCCUUUCGCAAUGUUUUAAAAACGUUGCGAAAGGUGAUAUUUCGCAAAGUUUCGCAAACGUUGCGAAAGGUGAUAUUUUCGCAACGUUUUAAAAACGUUGCGAAAGGUGAUAUUUUGCAACGUUUUUUAAAAACGUUGCGAAAGGUGAUAUUUUCGUAACGUUUGAAAUAGAAAAUUUUUUGGCAACACUUUAAAAACGUUGCGAAAUAGAUAGUUUUUCGUAACUUUGAAUAAACGUUGCAAAAACCAACAUUAGCAACACUUGUUUAAACAAUGUUGCCAAAUCGUAAUUAUAUCAACUAAUGGCAACAUUCACAUAUUUGAACCUUGCAAUAAACGCCUUUGGCAACACUUAAUUAACAAAUGUUGCGUUUUAUGUGUUGCAAAAGCCUAAUUUUGUUGUAGUGAUAUGGGACAGUUUUAUUUCUUAAUAUACCAUUUUGUUCACAAUACAUGCCAAAUUUAAAAUUACAAAAUUUUAGGUCAUUAUCAGUUCUUAAAAUUUUAAUCUUUACAACCAUCUAAUUUUCAAUUAAAACCUUCCAAUUCUUGAAUUUUUCAAAAGUUUCAGUCUUAUAUUUUAAAAGAAAAACCCACACAUUUCUUGAAAAAUCAUCAAUUAUUGAAAGAAAAUACCUGUUCUUACCUUGAGUGGCAAUGGAGGUAGAGCCACACAAAUUAAAGUGAACAUAUUCUAGUAGAGAACUUGAUCAAUCUAUGGUGUUUUUCAAAUAUGUAAUUUUUACCAAAAGGUAUUUUUAAUAUUAAUUUUCUUUUCCAAACACUCCCAUUUUGUGUAAAACAGUGAGAUCUUUUUCACUCACAUUAGUUAAUCUCUUAUGCCAUUUUAAGGUAGAAUCAGGUUUAGCACUAGAUGCUGUAGCAGCAUUCUCAAAUAUUGUUUUAGCUCUAGCAAUAUAAAUACCAUUUUUCUUAACUCCUUCAAAGAUGGCAAGGGAUCCUAUAAUCAUCUUCAUAAUGCCAUCUCGAGUUCUAACACGUAUCCCUUGAUCAUCGAAUUCCUCCAUAAAGAUUAGAUUUCUAUUGAGUUUAAGUACAUAUUUGACUCUUUCUAGGGUAUACAUAUAGCCAUUUUCAAAUAUUAGAGUGACAUUACCUAAUCACUCAACCUUAGUACCUUACAUGAAAUGUCAUUCCCCAUUACUAUUUCUCUACCACUUAUCUUUUUAAAAUUUUGAAGCUAAGACCUUUUAUGUGUAAUAUGAAAGGUGUAGUCUAAAUCCAAGAUAUACUCAUGGACAUGCUAUUUGUUAUCAGCAUAAUUUGCCAACUCUAGAUCAAGCUACUGAGUAACUAAAUACACAUCAACAAUGUUAGGUCCAGCGGUUCAAUCACAUUUUCCUCAUCUAUUUUUUUUAUCCCUUUGUUCAUUUUUCUUGUUGUGGCAAUCUUUUAUGUAAUGCUCUAUCAUGCCACAACCAUAGCACUUCCUAUUCCUUGAUUUAGAUUUUGACUUUAUCUUACAUUAGAUUUCUUAUUGUUAUUUCCUGAAUGAUUCUGAUUCAUCUGAGUACUACUUUGCCUAUUUAAUUGUCUACCUCUCAUAAACAAGUUCUCUGAUUCGUUCCCAUGUUUUUUAGUUUUAAGUUCUAUUCUUUAACUUCUUAAAGAAUUUAUAACAACAUCAGGAGUCAAAGUAUCCCUAUCAUACUUAUGGCAGUUUUGACAUCUCUGUAUGCAUCUGGUAUGGCAUUAAGGAGUAUAAUUGUCUUAUACUCCUCAGAUAUCUUAUCCCCAGCAUUAGUAAUAUCUUGUACCAUUUAUUAAAGGUAUCAAAAUUAUCAUCUAUGUCUUUGGAUGAAUCAAUCUCAAAAUUAAAAAAAACCUUUGUAGGAGGAAUAGUUGUUAGUUAGUGGUUUAACUAAGUAAAGUUCUUCUAGGUUGUUCCAUAAGGCCUUGGUAUUGUUAAGUUUUCCAACUUUCCUUAACACUUGAUCAGAUAGGUGAAGGAUAAUGCAAGUAUAUGCUAGUUCAUCUGAUUCAGCUUUUUGAUCAGUAGUCAUUGUUUUAGGAAAUUCACUAGUUAUUGCUUUAGAUACUUUCUGUUAGACUAAAAGCCCCCUUCAUCUUUGGCUGCCAUAUAGGAAAAUUUAUCUUUCCAUUGACGAUCCCAAGUUCAAAACUAGAAGUAGUCAUAUCCAUCAAAUUGAUCACAAUAAGAAAGAAAAAUCUGAUCACCACAAAACAAAUUGGGACAAAUGAUCCAAGAUGCAAUUAAGACGAUAAAGAUUCUUCUAAAUAAAGGGUGAGUACACAGAAUCACAAUUAUAUGACCUAAAUCAUAUACUGCAUAUAGAUUAUACUUAAACAGCAUAUACACAACAUGAAAGGAUUAUAUAAGUGCAAAGCAUGAUAAGUGAAUGUGUAUAGUUCAGUAAUCACGAGUUAUUUUGAGAGUCAACUGCCUAUCUCCACCAAUAUUCCAUGAAAUUCAAAAAACAUCAGGUCAUAGUAGGGUGAUAGUUAGAGGUUUUAGUACAGAACCAUAAAGAAAAUAUAUGAAGUAUAGGAUCACAAAAAUACUGCAAUCUAAGUAGCAUAUAACAGUUUAUCCAAAACACUGAAGAGACAAAUCAGUCAAUAAUUGUUCAAACUGAAAAAUGCUUUACAAAAUUAGUCAAUGAUAAUAGGCUCCCAAAAAAAAAAAAGAGUUCGAGAGAGUAAACCAGAAUGUUGGUCAUUUCACUUGACCACUAAUAGAUCUCACCAAAAUAAUAGCCAUGACAACUAGAGAUAGUCAAAUCAUGACGCCGUAAAAUAAUAUUUCACCAAGAAAAACUUUGAUCCGUUUUAGAUUUACCAGAUCUGGGGUUUACAAUCCCCAAUAUUCUCAAGAUCAACCGUAAUUACUAGAACAAGUUUCAAUUUCCCUAGAAUAGCCGAUCAAGUGGCUUUGUUACCAUUGUUAUACAAAGUAUCGAACCAAAUAGAUCGCGAAUUUAAGAGAUUUACAAAAACAAACCAAAUAGAUCGCGAAUUUAAGAGAUUUACAAAAACUUAAAGAAAUACACAACUUUCUUUAAAGAUUUCUCAAACUGCAACCAUGGCACCAAGAAUGAAGAUGUUUCAAUGAGGCUCGGAAAAAACAUAUUGUACCCAUUCGUGUGACCCAAACCCUAACUCAAAUCCUCAAAAACACCAUUAUUGAUUAAAAGAAUCCAUAAGAAUAAGUGCACUCACACCACCUCUUAUCAGUACACAAAGUACCAAUAUUACACAAAGAAUCGGAGGGAAAACCAACUUCCAAUCAGAGAAUAGAAGAUAAACAUGAAAGAAAGAGGGAGAGCAUCAGAGCAUAUACACACGGCACAAACCCUAAGAAUAAAAGCAUAUGGCAACAAAGGUAGUAUUUAUGCACUUGCUUCCAACCAUUGAUUAGAUUCUAAUCUAACGAUCCAAGUGGUUCCUCAAACAAAGAAGAAAUUGUAUGAGCUACAAUAAUAAAAGUUCCAAGUCUUAAACGCAACUUUAGUGUAGUUGGACUCGAGUAAAUGGGUCAGGCCACAUUAUUGGGGAAUUGCAGGUUUUAAUAGGAAGUGAUUUCGGGCCUUAACCUUAUCAUCAUUUCCCCAAGAGGUAAUUUGACAUCACAACCCAACAAAGACAAGAUUGAGAAAAGCGAGAAUAUCAAUCAGAGAUAAGCAUAUAGUAAUAAAAUACUUGAAAGCCAUAUUCGCUUGUGGUAAGAGUAAAAAUUCUCUAUAACCUGUGCGAAGAUUUAGUUAGCAUUGAAAGAGAGUGCCAUCAACAAUAGAAGAAUGGCUUAAUCAUUACAAAAGAAAAGAGAUUUACGACACGAACAGUUGGAUCUUAAUUAUGAAGAUUUAGUUAGCGUUGAAAGAAAGUGACAUCUACAAUAGAAGAAUGGCUUAAUCAUUGCAAAUCAAAAGAGAUUUAUGUCACAAACAAUUGGAUCUUAACUGAAAUGCCCAUGAAUUUUCUCGUUUGCAAUCACUAUUGAUAUUUUCCUUCAAAAUUAGGGUAUAUAAAUAGGCAAGAUCAUAUACUAGUUCCCAAACAUGGAAAAUAAUUUUCAAAAAAUAUUCUCUAGCUCAUAGUACUUCAAAUGAAAUUUUAUGCAAACUUAACUUUUCAUAAGGAAACUUCACAUAAAGUUGUCAGGCACCGACCCUCAUCUCUCAAGCGCUAAUGUGUCUCCUUCACAAUAUUUGGAGGAAAUUUUGGCAUAGUAAAUUUAUUUCGUAAUCUACAAUUCUAGGCCCUUGGACAUGGAGAAAGAAUACUGUCGAUCUUUUGCUUCUUUUACUCUUAACAUGUUUUUAAUAUUCUAUUUCUUUAUUUCACAAACUUACUUUGAAGUGUAUCACGGGAAAUUAGUAAUCCUGGAAAUUCAUUUGAUGUUGUCUUAAAUAAUUCAGACUUCACCUCACACUUAUAAGUCAAAACAUAAAUAUUUGAAGACAUAUCAAGUAGUAUUGUCAAUAAGUCUCCCAGACAAGUCAUGUAGUUAAAUAAGUAUCUUCUUGAAUACAGAAUAAAAAAAGUUCCACAUGCUCAUUUCUGUACCGCCCAAAAACUUGGAAAAAUAAUAGGGAAACUUAAGAACAAACCUGAUUAUAACUGCAUACACCAAAGCCAUCACACCUAAAGCCUCUUGUUAAUUCUUAAUGUCCCUAGAAACUUUAGGGACAACCAAAUUUUUCUCUUUACUAAAAAUUUUCGCUCUCAAUUUUUCUCCUCCACACACACACACACACACGCACCUUCUCUCCAAUUCCAAUCCUAUAUUUAUAGAAAAUUUAGCUGCCUUUUACAUUAAAUUCCACCGCCUAAUGCUUCAGAAAAUUGGCUUGAAUUUUCUGCAAAUGUGGCUGUCAUUUCCUAUACAAUUUUGUGAAGUCAACAUUUAACACUUUGCAUUAAAUUCAUGUAAUAUACCCCAAGUCAACAGUUGCUGGAACAUAUCAAGAAUAAUGGUUGUAACUUGGCUGGUCAUUAGCCGGAAACUCCAAUUUUGCAACCAUCACCUUUGUAUGCAUGUAUGUAUUUUUCUUAACGAUGAAGAAAGCAACAACCUUAUCUAUUUGGUCAAAAAAUGUGGCUUUACUUUUAACAUGCUGUAGCGAAAAUCCCUCUAUAAAUCUUGAUUCCCGAUUCAGAAAACAAUCAGACGAACAACGAUUUACCUCGGCUCGACCCAAGACUUUCGCCUUCACUUUGGACUGCUCUCUUUCUCUCUAACCCCACAAAGGGGAAGGGUGGUGGUGAUAGCAAUCCACAAAGGUAUGGAGAGGAAGACAAAGAUAUCACAAUGAUUGAAUCUCACUCACAACCUCACAUGGCUUCCCUCUCUCUCGACUGCCUCUCUUCUCUCAACUCUCAUCUCCAUUGCUACAACACACACACACACACACACACACACAAAACGGCUGGGAGAUAAAUACAUAUAUAUAUGUUAGUUUAUGUCACUCCAAUUGGGCCUAGGGUUCAUUAAGAGGGCUACCAAUUAACCUAAACUAAUGGGCUAAUUUUCAACUCCAUAUUAAUCACUAAAUGGUCUAACUAACCAAAUAGUCAUCCAACUCAAAAUCGAGCCAUCCAAAAGUGUAGUUCGUCUCCGAGUCGAGCCAAGUCCAUGGUGUCGAUAAAUAAUCCGACAACUGUUUUAAAUCAUCGCCUGAAUUAUUGGGUAUCAAAAAACCCAACAAUCUCCACAUUGAUGCCCAAUAAUCUGCAAGCAACCAAAACACACAGUUUAUACUUGUACAAUCAAGGUAAUCCAUUAAAAUAGGAAUAACAGAUCUUACCUCGUGUUUCAAAUCGAAACACAUACCAUACUUGCUCCAUGUACUCUCAGGGCAAAGGUAAAAAAUACCCAAGUAGAAACAAGUAUUCACAAUGGACAAACAAUCAUACGAUGAAGAUAUAUAGGAUAACACACACAGAGAUCUUUCCAAAAUCACGUUCACACGGAAUCACAGAUUAACACCUAGUUAAUCAAACCACGGUCACGUACAUAUGCAACAAAUGCAUAAAUGACCUCAUGGAAGAUCUCACCACACUUAUCCUAUCCCAUUCCGUGUUACUCCCACCUCGAGAACACAUAUUUCCUCUCAUCGCCCACCAUACUCACUAAACCAAUCACUCAACUCAUGUUUAACUGGUAAGUCAUAAUAGAUCCUAAGCUCUUGGGAUAAUCCUCUAUCACCACAUCCCUUCUCCCAAUCUACGUGGAUAAUGGGACUCCACCUUAUAGAAAUGAUAGAAGUGCCUCUCUCACACUCCACCUGAUCAGGGUCUCUUUCACAGAUAAAGGAUUCUACACAUUUGAUCACAUUUCCACUCAUGAUCCAAAUAUCACACUCCACAUCCCCCGUGCAUAUCACCAUUGCACCUAUAGGCAUCUAUACUCCACAUUAUCAGAAGACAUCCAACUCACUGCUAAUGCAUCAUAAACUCACUGUGGCAAAACAAGACCUUUCGGUGACCACAAAGGUUCUCCAAUCACCAAAGAUCCAAAAAAUUCACAAAGAAAAUGGCGAAGGAGGCACUCACAAAGAAAAAAUUGAAGAAAGAGUCAGUUACUUCACAACACUCACAAAGAGGAAGAAUAUAACCCUAACAUGGUUGUCUCACAUAAUCUCAUAAACCACACAGGCUCACAAAGAUAAAAGAGAGAAGUGGCUGCCCAACUUUCUUCUCACUACCACACUCUCACACCACUCACAGAGCAAAUAGAGUACGCUACAAAACUUAACCCACUAUGCAUGUAAACAUAUUACACAAAGUAAUAAGUCACUCUAAUUCAUGCAAUUACACACAUCAAACAUUUUGAAAGUCUAACAUCAACAUUGCAACAAAAUUAAGUGACCACAUACAUGCAGAAGGGAUUACACACAGAUUCAACUCCAUAUUAAUCACUAAAUGGUCUAACUAACCAAAUAAUCAUCCAACCCAAAAUCGAGCCAUCCAAAAGUGUAGUUCGUCUCCGAACCGAGCUAAGUCCAUGGUGUCGAUAAAUAAUUCGACAACUAUUUUAAAUCAUCGCUUGAAUUAAUCGGUAUCAAAAAACCCAACACAUGCCUUUGGAUGACUUUCAGAGAAUACAAGCCGACGAUCAGAUGAUCGAAGUUAAGACAAGACUAAAGAAGAACAAUUUCCACAUCGCCGUAAUAUUUGCCACAACAAAAGAUACAACACUUCAAUAAUAGCAAUGACAAAGAAAGAUCCUUGUCCAUACCAACCUAGAUGCCAAUAAAAUCAAUUAGGUUAGAAUGUCCAUGAACUGAACAAUUAUAGCAUAGUUUCCUUGUUAAAAGUAAGUAAAAUUCAAGAAUUUGUCAAAGUGAGCAAUCAAAUAAUAAUCAGAACUGAGCAAUACAACUACAACAACCUCAUAUGGUCGCUCGGGCUACUAGUAUUGGAGGAAGCCAGAAGCUCAAAUGCCCUCCAGCUCCAACACAGGGACGACUUUCGAGAAUCCCAUCUGAGCUCUUAUGAAGCUGUGGGCCAAGCCGAUACCGCUGUCAGGACAUUCGACUUGACCAUCUAGGUUCGCACUAGCAAGGCCAUGAAAGCUAUAACCAUUGGCUAUCUAAUUCCCUCCCUCUCCCUCGACUCUAUCCUAGAAGUCACUAAAUACCUUAUUGAAAUAGAUCCAAAAGUGUUAAAAAAAUCUCGAAAAUGAGAAAGACAGUAUCGAAUUAUCGAAUCUUGUUGAUGAUUAUUCCCAAAAAAGUCUUCUAACUUUAAAAUCCAGUACUGCCCUUGAUGUCUGUCUUGAGCAUGAUGGUCAUAUCGAGCUGAUAAUGAAUGUAGCUCUUUGAGUAUUUGAGGAAGAAGAUUAUAGUAAUUAGGGUGAAGGGUGUGUGAAAAUUUAUCUGAGAACUUUAGAGGAACUAAGGAAUUUAAAGGCGGCAGUGUAUCCCUUUAUAGAGUUCUUGGAACUAUUUAACUCGAUUUAUAAGCAACAAGAUUUUAUGACAGAGAAAUUGGAAACAAAGAAGAGAAAAUUAGACAAGAAGUUGAGGAAAAUGAAGGUAAGGAGGAAAGUCUCUAAUGUGAUAUCUAUUGGUGCAUUUGCCUCGGUCUUGAUAUGCUCAGUGGUGGCAGCUGUAGCCAUCGCCCCGCCUAUAGUGGCAGCUCUGGCUGUAGCAGUUGGUGUGCCUUCAGGGACAAUAGGGCAAUGGCUCAACUCGAUUUUUAAGUAGCAUGAGAUGGAUUUAAGAGGGAAAAGGGAUAUAAUUACUUUAAUGCGCACUGGGAUUGUUAUCAAGAGAAUGGAUGUUAACAGGUUUCAGAUUGAGAUUAAGGAGUUAUUGAGUGUGUAGAUUUCGCUACGAGGAAGGAGGGUUUAGUGGUUAUUGCAGUGGAGGAGAUUCAAAAGAAGGUGAAUGGAUUUAUGAAAACCAUUCAAGAUUUGAGCGAGCAUGCAGAUAAAUGUACCCAAAAAACUAGGAUGGCUAGGAACUUAAUUCUAGGAAAAUCAUGAACUAAAACCUUGGUAUGUCAUAAAGGAUUGGAUAUUUCCUAGUUCAAACAUCGUGUAAAUACCAUAGUGAUGUGAACCCACGUAGCAACUAACAAUACGGAACACGCAAAAGAAUGAAAUCGGACCCAAAAAAGUUCCAAACAAUAAGGUUUAUGGAUUUUGACUCAAAAACAAUGGAUUAAACAACCCACACAGUCAAUAGAACAUGUAGACCUCUUAAUUACACAAUUUAAUAAAUCUAAUCCGGAUAAUUUAAAGAUUGACCCGAAAAUUAAAUGAACCAAGAAACAAAAAUAAUUACAAGAAUACCUUGACCCCGUGAUUACACAACCCACGAAUCUCACUUCGAUUGGUUGAAAGCCACGAGAAAUCAUCCCGAUAAGUUCAAUAAUUUUUGAAGCAUGAAGCCUCCAGAGAAAAUCUCCAUUAAUUUAAUCUCAAAUUUAAUCUCAAAAGUCUUGUUUUACAAUGUAGAAAAAUAAACCUAUUUAUACUAAAAAAAACCUAGAAUAAAGUUUAAAUGGAAUAAAGUCCUAGAAUACCUAGAAAUCUAGUAAAAUCGGAAAUGGAAUCCUAAAAUAUCUAAAUUAUCAAAAAUAAGAAAUUGGACCAAAAUAAAACUUCUCCAGAUCACAUCAGACCCUCCCUCUUCAAGAGGAUUCAUCCUCGAAUCCUAAUCCAAUUUAUAGCAUUUACUUUCAAUCAACUCAAGCAAAUGAAAUGGCCCAUCACCUCUCGGAUGCAAUUUGGACCUCUUUUGACAUUGAGCUCUCCUUUUUUGAAUGUAGACCCAAUCACCCUUACAUAGAUCAAAGUAUGUACGCCUUGACGGUUUCUUUUUGCCAUUUUGGGAUGCUCCAAGAAUGAUUUCAGCAGAUAAAUCACCGUUCAUUGUCCAUGCUUUAAUCGGCCCAUAAAAUAAAACUUCUCCAGAUCACAUCAGACCCUCCCUCUUCAAGAGGAUUCGUCCUAGAAUCCUAAUCCAAUUUAUAGCAUUUACUUUCAAUCAACUCAAGCAAAUGAAAUGGCCCAUCACCUCUCGGAUGCAAUUUGGACCUCUUUUGACCUCGAACUCUCCUUUUUUGAAUGUAGACCCAAUCACCCUUACAUAGAUCAAAGUAUGUACGCCUUGAUGGUUUCUUUUUGCCAUUUUGGGAUGCUCCAAGAAUGAUUUCAGCAGAUAAAUCACCGUUCAUUGUCCAUGCUUUAAUCGGCCCAGGUGAUGGUGACAAUAUUACUUCCACUGGAUGCAUGUUUCCCUACAUAUCGACUUUGUAACUCAACUCCUUGCAUAUUAAUUCCUUUCAUUGCUUUUGAAAUUUCUUUAUCUCCUCAGGGAUAACAAAAUCAAUCUCCAGUAAUAUAGUGAUGUCGAAACUAGGAUAUGGUAGUUGUUGAAUUGUAUCCACCAUUUGGUAAUUAAUACCCUGAUUGUAACGGAUUCCAAUCUGAUAAAUUUCUAGAAUCGAAUCUUUGUUAACGUGCAAAAUAGAAUUAGCAAAAAUAGGGAGGGAAAUGUUAGUGUUCACCAACGCCUCCUCAAUUUUAACUUUUUCUUCAUGCAAGUUCACUCUCAACUCCUUUUCGAUCUCCAAAGACUCUAUUUCAUUUUCAUUCCAUGACUCCACUUCUCCCCUUUCACUUUCUAUUUUCUUUUCACUUUCUUGUGGCUCAUCUUCUUUUUUCUCACAAUCAACCACCCCACUAAUUUCUCUUUUACUCUCUUGUUCCUUCCGUUCCUUCGGAUGAUUAAUUUGAGACCUAAGAAUGUCGAGAAUUCAGAGAAUUCCUGUUUAUAGUCCAACCCAACACUUUUACUUGAUGUACUACCCUCACACUUAGCAAGGGAUGUUUUCUUUUCCACUAGAUAAUCCUCCUAAUAUUUCCUAGGCGUCUCCUUAAAUACCCAUUCAUGCCGAUCUCUCAUAUCCCUUCCUUCAAACCUAUCAUAUUUAUUCCUCAAUCCUCGUACCCCAUUAAUACCACAACCAUGUCCAUAUGCAUCACACAUUUUAGUUCUAGUCUCCCAUCUCCUAUCAUUUUACACCUCAUCACAUUGAUCCCUAUGUAACUUAGCCAAUUUCAAAUCAAUUAUAUCCAUCUUAUUUUCCAUAUUCUCAAUCAGCAUCUCAAACCGUUUCAACAUUUUUUUAACCCUCAAUUUAUUUUCUGCCUCACAAUUUUACCACUCAAACUUUCUCCAAAGCGCUUUAAAAACAAUGAAAACUCAACCAGGAGUUAUUCUCGCAGAAUUCAAACCAAGUGAGAUUUUCUGACCCAAAUGACUCAAGACAAAUUUGAAUUGGACACAAAAGGAUUUAGAAAAGAUUUUUUUUUUUUUUGGGGAAAAACACAAACACAAUUAAACUACCUAAAAUUUUAGAUCUAAGACUCAAAACUAACGGGAAACACGAAGAAAAAUGCGGAAAACAAAAGAACAAAAACUCAAACACAAAAACAAAGGGAUAUAACCUUUAGUUGUUGGAGUCCAAGCUCUAAUACCACCUGAUGCGAACCCAAGUAGCAAUGAACACUACGGAACCUACAGAAGAAUGAAAUCGGACCCAAGAAAGUUUCAAACAAUAAGGUUUAUGGAUUUUGACUCAAAAACGACGGAUUAAACAACCCACACAGUUAAUAGGACAUGUAGACCUCUUAAUCACACAAUUUAAUGAAUAUAAUCAAGAUAUUUAAAGAUUGACCUGAAAAUUAAAUGAACCAAGAAACAAAAGCAAUUACAAGAAUACCUCGACCCCGUGAUUACACAACCCACGAAUCUCACUUCGAUUGGUUGAACGCCACGAGAAAUCAUCCCUAUAAAUUCAAUAAUUUUCAAAACAUGAAGCCUUCAGAGAAAAUCUCCAUUAAUUUAAUCUCAAAAGUCUUCUUUUACAAUGUAGAUAAAUAAAUCUAUUUAUGCUAAAAAAACCUAGAAUAAAGUUUAAAUGGAAUAAAAUCAUAGAAUACCUAGAAAUCUAGUAAAACAGAAAAUAGAGUCCUAAAAUAUCUAAAUUACCAAAAAUAAGAAAUUGGACCAAAAUAAAACUUCUCCAGAUCACAUCACAUGGACUGGAAACUGAGUUAUUUUAUUUCACUAAUAUUGUACACUCAAAUCAUAGAUCACAAUUAUGUUAUUUGAAGAUACUCAUGAGAAUGUGAAUAAUGCUCUUGAACAGCCUCGAUGACAGGUUGUGUUUUUUGGGACUGUAAUGGCAGCUCUUGAUUAGCAGUUUCUAUCUUUUUUAUUUUUAUUUUUUUAACUAUCAGAGAAAAUGUGACGAGUGUGCAUUUGUUUAAAUCCAUUUCAGUAUGUUUCCCUCAUCACAAGUUCAUUUAUUUUAUUUGGGUUUGUUUCAGUUCAGCACUGGAAGAAUAGUAUGAAUCUGAUGGACAUAAAGAAGAAAAAAUAGCAAUAGGAAAAAAAGCAAAGGAACAACAGAGAAAAAGAUAGGAAAGGUUUCGAAAUUUUCUUAUUCUAUUUUCACUGUACAUUUUUAACAAUUUUAUCAAGUUUAAUAUCAGAGAUAUGUGGCUGGAAGUUUCUUUCUCAAUUAUAUCAAGUUUAAUUUCAGAG